rnacentral:rRNA from 1 species
UACGUAGGGUGCGAGCGUUGUCCGGAAUUAUUGGGCGUAAAGGGCUCGUAGGCGGUUUGUCGCGUCGGGAGUGAAAACCCAGGGCUUAACCCUGGGCUGGCUUCCGAUACGGGCAGACUAGAGUGCGGUAGGGGAGACUGGAAUUCCUGGUGUAGCGGUGAAAUGCGCAGAUAUCAGGAGGAACACCGGUGGCGAAGGCGGGUCUCUGGGCCGUAACUGACGCUGAGGAGCGAAAGUGUGGGGAGCGAACAGG